UACGUAGGCAGCAAGCGUUGUUCGGAGUUACUGGGCGUAAAGAGUGCGUAGGUGGUGCCCUAAGUCUGUUGCGAAAUCUCCCGGCUUAACUGGGAGGGUGCGGUGGAAACUGGGGUGCUUGAGUGUGGGAGAGGUAAGCGGAAUUCCUGGUGUAGCGGUGAAAUGCGUAGAUAUCAGGAGGAACACCGGUGGUGUAGACGGCUUACUGGACCACGACUGACACUGAGGCACGAAAGCGUGGGUAGCAAACAGG
rnacentral:rRNA from 1 species